GGGGCCGUAGCUCAGUUGGGAGAGCGCUUGCAUGGCAUGCAAGAGGUCGAGGGUUCGACCCCCUUCGGCUCCA
rnacentral:tRNA from 1 species